GCACUUACUGUACCACCCAGCUUUGUAGCAGUUCUGGCGACUCUGAAAAACCAGACACAACUUUCCAGUGACCUUAAAAAUAAAUUUGCUUUGGAGGAGAAAAUGAAAGGAGGCACUCUUGUUAUUUAGCCCCAAUGAAGGCGUUUGGGACUGAGAGUCUUAGCAGACCAGUGUUUAUUUAUUAGUUUUUGAGUUUCAUUUUUUUUUUUUUGGUUCCAUAUUCCUAGUUACUGUAUAAAUCCUGAAGUGUGUCUGUGUGAUAAUAUAACUACAAGUGUGUGAGUCUAUAUAAAUACACGUGUUUUGCAUAUGUAAUCUACUUUUGUUUUACUGAUAGUGGCCAGACUCUGUCCGGGCAUUACUGACAUUACCCAACCAUCUCCAUAUCUUUAGUGUUUAAGUGUAUGACACUGCUUAGGAGGGUUAGCGGAUGAACAGCAAUAUAUAAGGCGUGAACAUUUUCCUUUUCGGUUUUAUUAUAUUUUCUCUGAAUUAAAGGGAAUCUCUGCGGCAUAAUUUUACCUCCUGUCCUUUGCUCAGAUAACUUCUAUAGUUGUGACUUUGAUGGCUUCAUCAAUGGUCGAUGAGUUAAAAUUUAGGAAAAGGUGGAAUUGGGAAUAAAAGUCUGACUUAAUCUCAACAUGGCAAUUUCAUCCUAAAUUAAGGCUGAAAUCAAGCUAGGAAUAAAUUAGAGUUGGAGAAAUUGUAUUGCCAAUUCAGUUUUUUUUUUGUCCUAAUUUAUAUUCCUACAUUUUAAAUUUCACCGCAGGUUAUUGUUUCGUAUAUAUCCAACCUUCAUCGAUCACACUGACAUUAUCUCUCUAGAUGCAAAUAAUUGCUUAAAACAUACGCGCAUAUGCGUGUGUGCGCAUGUCUGUAUAUAAAUACACUGUUAAAAAAAUAAAAUCCUUUUUUCCCCAUUUUUAAAAAGCUUACUAACUUAUACUAUCUAUUUAUAUAUUUGUGAAUAGACAAGUAUGUUUUGUCUUACACAAAAGCACUAUAUUUACUUAAUUGAAAAGUAUGACUUUAUUUUUCUGUUGCGAACUUAUUUUAUAAACCACUUGAGUUAAAUACUGUAAUAUCCUUAUAACUGUAUACUCAUUGCAGUGGAUUAGUUCGUUUUACCAAUGUUCUGAUUCACCGAAGGAUAAAGUGGGGUAUUCUUAAAGUCAUUGUAUCGUCUCAACAUUCUAAAAAGAACAGUGAACAUAUAGAGUGAAAAUCUAGACACUGUAUUAACAGAAUAGGGUGCUAAUAUAUUGAUACAUUUUAAGUGACUUUAUCAUUUGCAGCCCUGUAUGCAAAUUAUUUACUAGAGAAAAGAGGAACUUGUUUUUAUAUGGUAGUGCAUGGUAAUAUAUAACAAAGGCAUAUAGACCCCUUGCUAUUCUUUACCAGUAUACAUUUGUUUAAAACAUAUUUAAUUUAAAUUGUAAACACUGUAAAGAAACAAUACAUAAAGUCUAUAAUGCAUGUAAUUUAUAUUCUCGAUCUAAAAAAUAUUUUUUUUUUAUUUUUUUUUAUACUCUCCACCACAUUGUCUUCAAAACAUUUAUAUUGAAUGAGAAGAUUACUUUUCAUAAAAAAAAUAGUUCAAAAUAAAUAAAUGGGACUAUUCAAAAAUGUAACAUUUUACAUCCGGUUACAGCGGGGCUGAUUAUUUCAUAAUCCCCCAUCUGUUACGUUUUGGUGGAUGUUUUUAUGUAGUUUAGACUGAGUUCAAUAUGUGCUGAAUCCUGGUUGGUUUUCUGUUAAUUUAAAGUGAACAUGUUUCUCUUUACUAUCUAGUACGGUAAAUUCGCUCUGUAUUGGCAUUGUCUGACAGCAUCCCUCUAUGCCUGGGUUUGAGAGUCCCUAAAGAGUGUAGUCCCUGCUAAGUGGCAAUGUGACCUAUAAAUAUAUGUAUUUAAUUAUAAAUAUUAUGUUGUUUUUUUUAAUUAUGAAAUGAACUUGAAUAUCACAAUGUAGACCAAUCUGUGCACUUCUCCAAACAUUGUUCUACAGUAUAUGCUGGAGAGAGCCGUUAUUUGGGGGAUAGUGUGGGGGUAGAGUGGAUUUAUUUUUUUUAAUCUGGUUGCCUGUUCUUGAAAACAAUGUCAGCUGUGAGAUAGCUUUUCAAGGACUCAAAAUCUGGGGUGUGAUUGUUACGCUUUCCUGCAAACUAGUGUUGAAAUAACAAAAUAUAUGUAGCAUUUUAUUUUUUCUUCUUCAUUUUGUCUUAUUUUUAUCAUGCCAAGCAAUUUUGUAUAACUGCAUUUACAAUCAUAAAAAAAUGACAAUAAAAUGUAAACCAUUCAA